GAUGAACGCUGGCGGCGUGCCUAAUACAUGCAAGUCGAGCGAACAGACGAGGAGCUUGCUCCUCUGACGUUAGCGGCGGACGGGUGAGUAACACGUGGAUAACCUACCUAUAAGACUGGGAUAACUUCGGGAAACCGGAGCUAAUACCGGAUAAUAUAUUGAACCGCAUGGUUCUAUAGUCAAAGACGGUUUUGCUGUCACUUAUAGAUGGAUCCGCGCCGCAUUAGCUAGUUGGUAAGGUAACGGCUUACCAAGGCAACGAUGCGUAGCCGACCUGAGAGGGUGAUCGGCCACACUGGAACUGAGACACGGUCCAGACUCCUACGGGAGGCAGCAGUAGGGAAUCUUCCGCAAUGGGCGAAAGCCUGACGGAGCAACGCCGCGUGAGUGAUGAAGGUCUUCGGAUCGUAAAACUCUGUUAUUAGGGAAGAACAAAUGUGUAAGUAACUAUGCACGUCUUGACGGUACCUAAUCAGAAAGCCACGGCUAACUACGUG
rnacentral:rRNA from 1 species